AAGAGCUUGCUCUUAUGAAGUUAGCGGCGGACGGGUGAGUAACACGUGGGUAACCUACCCAUAAGACUGGGAUAACUCCGGGAAACCGGGGCUAAUACCGGAUAAUAUUUUGAACUGCAUAGUUCGAAAUUGAAAGGCGGCUUCGGCUGUCACUUAUGGAUGGACCCGCGUCGCAUUAGCUAGUUGGUGAGGUAACGGCUCACCAAGGCGACGAUGCGUAGCCGACCUGAGAGGGUGAUCGGCCACACUGGGACUGAGACACGGCCCAGACUCCUACGGGAGGCAGCAGUAGGGAAUCUUCCGCAAUGGACGAAAGUCUGACGGAGCAACGCCGCGUGAGUGAUGAAGGCUUUCGGGUCGUAAAACUCUGUUGUUAGGGAAGAACAAGUGCUAGUUGAAUAAGCUGGCACCUUGACGGUACCUAACCAGAAAGCCACGGCUAACUACGU
rnacentral:rRNA from 1 species